rnacentral:rRNA from 1 species
AUUGAACGCUGGCGGCAGGCUUAACACAUGCAAGUCGAGCGGAGAGAGGUAGCUUGCUACUGAUCUUAGCGGCGGACGGGUGAGUAAUGCUUAGGAAUCUGCCUAUUAGUGGGGGACAACAUUUCGAAAGGAAUGCUAAUACCGCAUACGUCCUACGGGAGAGAGCAGGGGAUCUUCGGACCUUGCGCUAAUAGAUGAGCCUAAGUCGGAUUAGCUAGUUGGUGGGGUAAAGGCCUACCAAGGCGACGAUCUGUAGCGGGUCUGAGAGGAUGAUCCGCCACACUGGGACUGAGACACGGCCCAGACUCCUACGGGAGGCAGCAGUGGGGAAUAUUGGACAAUGGGCGCAAGCCUGAUCCAGCCAUGCCGCGUGUGUGAAGAAGGCCUUAUGGUUGUAAAGCACUUUAAGCGAGGAGGAGGCUACUUUAGUUAAUACCUAGAGAUAGUGGACGUUACUCGCAGAAUAAGCACCGGCUAACUCUGUGCCAGCAGCCGCGGUAAUACAGAGGGUGCAAGCGUUAAUCGGAUUUACUGGGCGUAAAGCGCGCGUAGGCGGCUAAUUAAGUCAAAUGUGAAAUCCCCGAGCUUAACUUGGGAAUUGCAUUCGAUACUGGUUAGCUAGAGUGUGGGAGAGGAUGGUAGAAUUCCAGGUGUAGCGGUGAAAUGCGUAGAGAUCUGGAGGAAUACCGAUGGCGAAGGCAGCCAUCUGGCCUAACACUGACGCUGAGGUGCGAAAGCAUGGGGAGCAAACAGGAUUAGAUACCCUGGUAGUCCAUGCCGUAAACGAUGUCUACUAGCCGUUGGGGCCUUUGAGGCUUUAGUGGCGCAGCUAACGCGAUAAGUAGACCGCCUGGGGAGUACGGUCGCAAGACUAAAACUCAAAUGAAUUGACGGGGGCCCGCACAAGCGGUGGAGCAUGUGGUUUAAUUCGAUGCAACGCGAAGAACCUUACCUGGCCUUGACAUAGUAAGAACUUUCCAGAGAUGGAUUGGUGCCUUCGGGAACUUACAUACAGGUGCUGCAUGGCUGUCGUCAGCUCGUGUCGUGAGAUGUUGGGUUAAGUCCCGCAACGAGCGCAACCCUUUUCCUUAUUUGCCAGCGAGUAAUGUCGGGAACUUUAAGGAUACUGCCAGUGACAAACUGGAGGAAGGCGGGGACGACGUCAAGUCAUCAUGGCCCUUACGGCCAGGGCUACACACGUGCUACAAUGGUCGGUACAAAGGGUUGCUACCUAGCGAUAGGAUGCUAAUCUCAAAAAGCCGAUCGUAGUCCGGAUUGGAGUCUGCAACUCGACUCCAUGAAGUCGGAAUUGCUAGUAAUCGCGGAUCAGAAUGCCGCGGUGAACACGUUCCCGGGCCU